AAAAGGUACCCGCGAGAGACAGCCAGCAGUUCUGUGGAGCAGCGGUGGCCGGCUAGGAUGGGCUGUCUCUGGGGUCUGGCUCUGCCCCUUUUCUUCUGCUGGGAGGUUGGGGUCUCUGGGAGCUCUGCAGAUUUGAAGAUUGUACCAGGAGAGCCGCAGUGUUCCAGAGCUACUGAGGGGGCUGGGCUGGGAUUUGCUGUAUUCGAGAAGACCCCCUUGGACCCGAGAGGCUGUGGGCUUGGGGAGCGAGGAGGUUUCACAGCAGAAAGGACACCCCGGGGCUCCUGGAUAAGCCAGAAAAUGUGCCAGGGGAAGUCGGGCUCCAAGGGCACCACUCUGGGCUUCCAGCUGUGUGGGCUGGACCAAGAAGGCUCAGAGAAAUGAUCUCAGGCUUGAAGUGGGGAGAAGAAACUGUAUUAUGAAGGCAGACGAACAGUUCCUGCAAAGCCCCAGCACCCGCAGAGCAGACACUGCGAUGACAACGGACGACACAGAAGUGCCCGCUAUGACUCUAGCACCGGGCCACGCCGCUCUGGAAACUCAAACGCUGAGCGCUGAGACCUCUUCUAGGGCCUCAACCCCAG
rnacentral:misc_RNA from 1 species